rnacentral:tRNA from 10 species
GGAGAACAGGCCGGAAGGCGCCCAACGGGCCGCAGGCUCCGCGGCCCCCACCUUAUAGCCAGCUUUUUCCAAGAGCCACAUGCGGUGGGUGGGGUAAUGGAAUUCCGAAUUCCGCAGGGCCGAGAGGGUCCAAAUCCCGUCUCAGAUGGGAGUGCUCGGCGGAGCGGGGCUGGGCGAGGAGCGCAGAGGAGUCAGAGGAGCUCCAGCACCACCUCCAGCCUUCAGUGACUGUCUGGAGCAGGCAUCCGGAUGGAAGAGAAGGGGGACAACCAUGAACUUGGUGACCCACGGUCAGCCUGAUUUCCCUUGUGGACACAUUUAUGCCCAGUGUGCAUUCCUCCUGAGGUCUGUUCCAAGUCUGGAGGCAGCAGAGUAGAGUGGAGAGAACAGUGGACUUGGAAUCUCACCUCCCAGAUUAGAGUCCUGGAUCUGACUUUGAUUGCUGGUGCUGCCUCGGGCAAGUUACUUUAGCUGUGUGCAUCUCCAUUUCCCCAUGGAUAGAACAUGGGUUUUGGGUAGAAGUGUCUGAUAGCUGUACUGUGCUUUACGGUUCAUGAGCACGCACACAUAGGCCCAUAAUAUCAUAUCUCUGGUCACCCUGGCAGGUAGAUAUUAUUGCCCCAGGUUUCAGGUAAGAAGACUAAAGACCAGGGGUCAAUUGCUUGCUCAGAGUCCCACAGCCAGCAGCAGCCAGGCAGGACACCAAGUCAGAGUCUAGAUUCCGGAUCUUGCCCUCUUCCAAGUGUACCACAUUCUUCUCAAAGUGGCCUCUCAGGUCUUUUGUCCAGAAAAUUUUGAGACUUUGAUGAGAAGCCCAUAUCUGCACACUGGGGAUUAGGCCAGAUAACCCUGUGUGUCCUUCCAGGCCUGGUAUUGUGAGGCUGAAGCCUAGUGCCCCACACUCCCUUCCUCACCCCUUAGAGAAAGAUAGAGACUCCAGGGCCAGCCUGGUGGGUGCUGAACCUGCCCUGCUGAGCCAAGCCCAGGAGGCAGCCAAGGUCCUACCAGUGACCUUACCCUGGGGGCCCCUCCAGGUAGGAGCCUGGUUGGAAAAGACAGACCGACUUCUUCUGGGUUGGCUGGAAAAAGAUGACAUACUCAAAGCCUUGUCCUUCCACUUGGAUGCACCUGGUGAAGAUGCGACAGUCACCUUUGUCUGGGGAGAGAUAGGCAGUGUUGCAGCCGGAGAAGGGAGGGUAUGGUCAGGAUGCAGCACCAUUUGGUUGAGUCUUGCCUCUGGUACAAGAUUAAGGAGAGAAAACCAGAGGACACCAGGUCCACCCCCAGGGAGCCUUCCCUCUGGGAGCAGAGGCACAGUUGCUGUCCUCACAGAGCCUUUCUGUCUAGGGCAGAAACAUGCAGGAAGUGCCCUGGCUGAGAAUGGAGAUAGGAUCAGGGCCAGGGCAAGACUUUAAGAGACCAUAAGCAUUGAAAAUUGAAAAUGUAAUUACUCAUGUAACUCACAUAUAAUUCAAAAGAAUAAUAGUAAACAGUAAAAUAAGAGCAGAAAAGUCCAUCAAAGUUCUGAUUUUUUUUUUCCAAGACAGCUACCACUACUACAUCCUUUUUUGGAAGUAUCAAAUUCUUUGAAAAAAAAUUAUGUUGGUAUUCCUGCUUUGUUUGUGCCAUAAACCCAAGGGUAGUCUGUCCCCUGUACCACUCCUUCAUCACUAGGCAGGAAGACAACAUAUAUGAGUGAGAGAGACAGGGAGAUACACAUGCGUGCACACACGAGUGCACACACACACACAAGAAGGUGGAAGCUCUAUCAUUAGGAUCCAUUAGGAUCAUUAGGUGUUUCAGGAGUGCUGCUCCAGACCCCGCACAGCAGGGAUGAUGUGCAGGGCCUCAGUGGAAGGGGUGUGGGGUCCAAGGGCUUUCAUGGGGUUGGGGCGGAAGGCUUGGGAUGAGGCUUGAUAGUUAGGGAGGGGCAGUCAGUGAGAAGUCGGGGCAGGAGCUGGGCUGGCUGUCCUCCAGUGGGGACAUGCUUGGCUGGGAGCGAAGGUGGGCCCACCAGGGUGUGCUGCUUCAGAUGGGAGGAGGGGAGCUGGAGACCUGAGAGGACACCCGCCGCCUGUUGCCUGGGGCUGCAGCAUCAGGGGUGGAGUUGGACAGCAGGAAGAACUCGCUGAGAACUGGAAGGCGGUCUGUGAAGUUGCUUCUCAGUCUUAGAACACAGGGAAGGGCGGCUGGGGUGUGUGUACUCAUGGUCCUGUCCUUACCUGAGGAAACUGCCAGUCCAGAUGGGAGCUUGAGUCCCCGGAUGUGGUCUCUGUUGGACUUGAAGGAGGGCAGCUUGAUCCAGCCGCUAGACUUAGUCUUCUCCAGAAAUUCUUGGUACAGGCUCAGCAUGUCCGAACACCAGCUGGCAUUGGGAAGAGCAUAAUCCUUCAAGUCUGUCUUCUCUGGCAAGAAUCUUGAGAACUGGGCAGGAAAAAUCAGAAUGACUAGACAGCAUCCUGGAGGGGGGCUGCUGCCUGGGCUCGGGACCUCUAAACAGCUGUUCCUGGGUGCUGGGGCUUCUCAAUCCCUUCUGCCAGAGUAUCGAUCCAAGGGAAAGGGCCCAUAUUCCUUGCAGGGGGGCUGCGGACCCCUAUGGGUGACGGGGCAUAAGGAUGCUAAAGAGCAAGGGAAGGGCGGGCAGGGAGUGGGGCCAGAGAUGAUGGGCAUGCUGCUCGAUGUGGUGCCUUACCCUUGUUCUGCUUAAAACAUGUGAGCAGUUCUUUAAAGUUGACAACUGCUCAUAUUAGCCUCACUGUACAGAUGGGGAAACUGAGGGAAUACGGCCAAGGUUGCCAAGCAUGUGACUGUGAGAGCUGGUGGUCGCACUAGAUGCUGUCUCCUCUGCAGGGCAGGGUCACAGUUGUUGAGGACCAUUCUAGCAACCCCCACCUCAGGGGCUACUCCAGCUCUGCCCACUGCUGUGGGCCUGCCUGGGCAGGGUGGCUCCUUUGAAACACAUUUGGGCCCCCACAGAGGUGUGGUGCCAUGGCUGGGGCACAGACUAUGUGCCCAUCUGUGUGACGUAAGGAAGUCCUCUGUAGCGUCACCUGCUCAUACACCAGUCACAACUGUAGACAGCAUGUGAGCUGCUUGCCAAUGCCACAGAUGGGGUCCUCUGUCUGGGGAUACCCCAGCUUUGCUGCAGUAGUCUGAGUCCCACAGGAGGAAAGUCAUUUGUUGGUGGCCACACAAGACACAGAGCCAGAUGCAGGUCUCCUGGUAGUUUUAGUUUUGAAUGGGGGCAACUUGGUAUCCCAGAGCACUUUCUCUUUGCCAAAUCAAAUAGCUCCUCCGAACACUGCCCACCUGCCCUGGCCAUGGGCUGGGAAGAGGAGAUUUGGGGUGCUCCUUAAGCCCUAGGCUCCUGGGAAAACACUGCCCAUCUGGCUGAGCUGGGAACUCACCAUGGAGUCUGUGGAGGAUCCAAAUGCUGAGGCAGGGUUGAGUCUGGGCAGGAUACGGGGGGCCUCAAGAAGGCCUCUGUGGUGGCCAAGUCUUGCUGCCACCUGGAAGCAUCUCCUUAUCAUGGCCAAGUGCAAGGAUCCAGCCCUGCUUGGAUGGAGGGUCUUGGCUGACUCCCAAGGAGUGCUUUCAGCUGCACUUGGGGCCGCUUCUCUCCCUUCUGUUGCAGGCUUUCUUUCAGAGAGCUAGGCGAGGCUGGGCUGGUGUGCUGCAACACCCACAGAUGCUCGGCGCCUUUAGCUGGUCUAGGAGCCCCACCCAGUGCUUGGGGAGGGACAGAUGCUGCUUGGGCAUGAAAAGGCAGCAGGACUGGCUUGAGUUGCAAAAGGAGUAAACAAGUACAUAAACAAAUAGUAUGGGGUAUAUAGAGCCUUGGAGAGCUGCCUGGGGGUUCUGAGGGAGAAUCCAAGAAUAUUUCCAGAAGGAUAAGGGAAGCCUGUCCCUUGAUUGGAGGGUGCUGGUGGAGUGUUCUUGGUAUGUGCUCUGCAGUGUAUACCGGACUCUGAAAACUCUGGUAUGAUUUUGUGACUCAGAAAACCAACUCACAGGCCGGGUGCGGUGGCUCACGCCUGUAAUCCCAGCACUUUGGGAGGCCGAGGCGGCGGAUUACGAGGUUAGGAGAUCGAGACCAUCCUGGCUAACACGGUGAAACCCCGUCUCUACUAAAAAAAAUACAAAAAAUUAGCCGGGCGUGGUGGCGGGUGCCGGUAGUCCCAGCUACGCAGGGGGCUGAGGCAGGAGAAUGGCGUGAACCUGGGAGGUGGAGCUUGCAGUGAGCUGAGAUCUAGCCACCGCACUCCAGCCUGGGCGACUGAGCGAGACUCCGUCUCAAAAAAAUAAAAAUAAAAAAAUAAAAAAAAAGAAAACCAACUCACAGCCUUAGACACCUCUUUUUUUUUUUUUUUUUUUUUUUUGGUGAGACGGAGUUUCAAUCUUGUCGCCCAGGCUGGUGUGCAAUGGCGUGAUCUCGGCUCACUGCAACCUCCGCCUCCUGGGUUCAAGUGAUUCUCCUGCCUCAGCCUCCUGAGUAGCUGGGAUUACAGACACACACCACCACACCCAGCUAAAUUUUGUAUAUUUUUUUUAGUAGAGAUGGGGUUUUGCCAUGUUAGCCAGGCUGGUCUUGAACUCCUGACCUCAGGUGACCUCCCAAAGUGCUGGGAUUACAGGCGUGAGCCACCGCACCCGGCCAACACCUCUUCUUAUAUCCCGGACAAGGGUUAGCACAGGAGAGUUUCACCUGCUGGUCUCUGGCUGGGGAUAGGAGUUGGAGGUGGGGGAGGGCUUGACAGGGAGGGCAGAAAAUAAUUUGGGAGGAAACAGCUUGGCAGGGAUACUCUCAUGUUUUGGGAACCCCGUGCCCAGGGAGUGGCUCAUGUCAGCAGGCAGUGCUGGGAGUGAGGUGGGCGCGGCAGUGAGGCUUUGUUGAGUGGGAAGGGACACUCAGCCAACAUCUGCAAGGCAGUGGGAUUUGGUGGUGGUGUGUCUUCUAUUGAAUUUAAACUGCCAAUUUUCAAUUAAAAGUCUCAGUUUUAAAUUGACUAAAAUAAAAGCAUGUUCUAAAGAUCAGUCCUCGCGCAGUGGCUCAAGGCUGUAAUCUCAGCAUUUUGGGAGGCCGAGUGAGACCUUGUCUUAAAAAAAAAAAAAUCAGAACUGUGCAAAGGUGGAAUCAUAACAGUGAUGAUGACGAUAAUAAUAGUUGUGAUGAUUAUGACAUUUUGGCAGGUUCCAAAAGAUGAAACUGAUUUAAUGCGGAAAUUUAAAAGAUUUGGUUCACCCUCUGUAUUUGGUUGCCCUAGAAGAAGACUAGAAUAUAAAUAUUUCCCCUCACCUCCUGCAAAGGUUUGAAUUAAACUUCCUCAAGGACUGGGGGAACCAUUUUUUUUUGUUGUUGUUAUUUUGUCAGAGUCUCACUCUUAUUGCCCAGGAGUGCAGUGGCACCAUCUCGGCUCACUGCAACCUCUGCCUCCCAGGCUCAAGCAAUUCUCCUGCCUCAGCCUCCCAAGUAGCUGGGAUUACAGGCGCUUGCUACUACGCCCGGCUAGUUUUUAUAUUUUUAGUAGAGACGGGGUUUCAUCAUGUUGGCCAGGCUGGUCUCAAACUCCUGGCCUUGGCUGAUCUGCCUGCCUCAGCGUCCCAAAGUGCUGGGAUUACAGGCAUGAGGCACCACGCCCAGCUGGAAGUUUUUUUGGUUGAUUCAGCCUCUGGGUCUAAGCAAAGAUAUUUGAGUUGGUUGCCAUCCCCAGAUAAGUGAGAAUAUCUGGCAGCACUCAUUUUCAGCCCUGGGCCGCAGCCGUUGCUGUGAGGCAGAAAUUAAAAAAAGAUAGUAAGUACUACAUUCAUUCACUCCAAGAAAAGUAACAGACAAGGCUAUAAGAAGGUCAUAGUGACCUAGUCUGAGAAGUAAAAGCCAAGGCCCAGAAUGUGGCAAGGCAAAGGUUAAAAAGAAAGGAAGAGCAAGUUUUUCUCUGCCUAGCAAGCUCACUUCAAAGACAAUUAUAAGAUAAUGCUCUUCGAGAAGUCGAAACCAAAGGAAUAGGCUCCAGACAUCCCCCGUCUGGAGCAAGGGUGAAGGAAAAAAAAAAAAGGACAAAUGUCUGUCUGUAUUUAGCCAGUUCUUGUUUUUUCUUUCCACGCAGCUACAAGGCCACCAGCUAUGCAAAGCCACAAGUUAUGCCAAGUCAUCAGUUAUGCUAUAGAUUAUGUGACCUGUCAUUAUAUGAUUAACUGCCUGUUUUGCUUCUGUAAGCCUGCUUAUAAAAAUCCUGCUCAGUCUUUGUUCAAUGCUCAGCUUUUUGGAUGUGAAUCCACUGAGCCAAUGCCUACCUUAAAAUAAACAUCGUCCUGUUUUUCCA